GUGUUUCUUUCAACAAUGCAUAUACUAACACUAGAAAGAUACAGAGAUUAGCACAGUCCCUCUGAAAGAAGGACAUGCAAAUCUGGGAAACAUGCCUUGUUCUU